rnacentral:lncRNA from 1 species
UUCCUGUAAGCUACUUUACAAAAUGACAAAACAAAACAGAUAAUAUAAACAAAGAUCAAUUUAAAGGAGGCACUAGCUACGAAAUUUUAAAAAUAAAAUAUAUAUUUGUUUGGUUGAUUAAUUAAAGAGAAAUGGUGAAAUAAUAACUCGCUUUUAGCAACUAGUAUGGUUUAGCUAAGAGUCAUCACUGAUGCAUUAUUCACUUGCAACUAAAUAUGAUACGGUUGAUACGUUUUUAAAUGACCGACCUGUAUUUGUUAACAUUAAUUAUUAAAUGAAAAAAGAAGGGCUAGCAUAUUUAUUGACAAAAUCAAACCAUGAUUUAUAAUUAAUGUAUUUUUUACUCUUUACAUGAAACACCACUAGUAACCUUUCUUUGGCUAUCUUUGUUUAAACUUUGAUAAGUGAUUAGAUUUUAGUUGCUGGUUUGCAUAUUUCAGUUAAAUGCAUGUGCUAAUAUGGAUCAAACUUGCAAGGUUGAUCGUUUCGUGCAUUGUUAUUACAAAAAAAUAAAAAACCAAUACAUCAUGCUCCUUGUAUGCAGUUUUCAAUAUGGACGGGUAUAAGUUUGUAUAAGUUUGGCUUUCGAACUUUUUUGAUCUGAGCGUCACUGGUUAGUCAAGUGUUGACGAAACGUGCGUCUGGAUAUUGAAUUAUAAACCUGGUACCUUUUGAUAGCUAUUAUUCGUGUGUCUCUCUGUUCUAUAUGUUCUCCCAUUUAUCUGUAUUGUAAUCCUGUCAUGAAAGGUUGUCAUUUUAAUGUUAUAUUUAACAUUGCUAUAAACGCGGGAGGUAUUGCUAGCCACAAAAGCAGGUUCAACCCACCAUUUUUUUUGGUGUUAAAAUGUCCGGACCAAGUCAGGAAAAAGCCAUUGUUAUUUUGUAUUUCAUUAUGGUUGUGUGUGUGUGUGUAACAUGUUAGUGUUGUGUUUCUG